rnacentral:lncRNA from 1 species
AACUCUUGACCGCAGAUGAUCCGCCUGCCUCGGCCUCCCAAAGUGCUGGGAUUACAGGCAUGAGCCACGGUGUCCGGCCGCAUCCCUGCUUCUUAAGCCUCUUCCUCUGCAGUCCAUCCUGAUUACUAACGAAUGGCCGAGAAGCACGACUUUCAUCCAGCCACUCCCAGCCUCAGAGCCUUCACGAGCUCCUUCUCGCUGCGGGAUAAAGCACAGCUCCUCCGCCAGCCCGGCGCGCAGCGGGCCUCACCUCUCCUGCCCGGCCCUCUCAAUUGUCCCCUGCUCUUCCACCAGGAUCCUUGAAUCCUGCCAGACCUCGCUCCCCUGGGCCUGGGGCGUCCCCGAACUCAUCCUCGCAGCUUCCCUGUCCCAGGAGGGCCCGCUGGCCAAAUCCUCCCCACUCUGCCUGCGGCGAGGCUUGCUGGACUAGCAGACUCAGAAUGGCCUGUUCUGAACAGCCUUGGGGUUUCCGUUUGCACAUUCUGAAGCAAAGCAAUGUGAGAACCGUUUUCAUUGCGUGAGGCAAGGUUUCUCAACCUGAGCACUAUUGACACUUUGGCCUGAAUAAUCUUUUCUGUGGGGGCUCUUCCCGUGCCCUGUAGGAAGUUUAGCAGCUUUCCUGGCCUCUGACCACGAGAUGCCAGUAGCACCUUCCAGUGUGGCAACCGGAAGUCUCCCGACACUGCCAAAUAUUCCCUGGGGGGACAGCUGCUGUGUAAGGGAAGGCUUGUACCACCAGCUGCACUCUCUCAACAGGAGGUUCACUGGAACUAGAUGUAGCAGCCACCUACUGCCACUAACCACAGAGUGGCCACCAGGCAUCUCCGGACACUGGCAGUUGGCAACCGCUCUGGUUCAGAUCAUCUGAAAUGAAGCCCUACACAGCCCAAGGACACGCCCACGUCUGCAACAGAACGCACACUGAGAGCUUCCUGUUGCCUGGGAAACGUGUUAAAUGUGCUACAGAGACACAGACUUGUAUCCAACAUUUCAGAGGUAUGAAAGAAUGGGUGGGAUCCAAGGAAUCAAAGCAGUAGAUGGACGACCAGGAGCACCCCAAGUUAUCUUCAGGAAACAGAGCGACAAAACGCAAAGACUGAAAUCUCUUCGAAGCCAGACACAGCAUCUUGUACUGUGGUACGGUGGUACCUCUAGGUUCCUGGCACGCAGCCUGACACAUACGAAGGGCCCCUUAGAAUUUGGUUGCAUAGCUGAUGAAAGCAGCCAGCGUCUGUCAGCAUGUCUGGUGUGCCAGGGCCCGCAGGACAUGCAGUGUGUUCCUUAGCUUAUUUAAACUUUACCACCGCGUUACAAGGGAAGUAGUAUCCUUAUUCCCAUUUUACAGAUAAGGAGGCUGAGGUCCAGAGAGGCUAAGAAACCAGGUCAGACAGAAAGCUGUGGGGUGUGGAGAGCGGCCAAAGGGGCCUGGGGGAGGGGCUCUGUUGGGGCAUGGUGGAGAUGGAGGUAGUGAGAAGAGGGCCCAGGAGAGGGUGCAGAGGGUCAAUUCUGGGAAGGGAGAGGGGGCUUCCUGCGCUGGGCUGGUGAGGCCAUACAAGCAGUGGAAGCAGUCCCUGAUGGGGUACCCGGAGGACUCCCCACUCCUGUGCCCAGACACCUCAAAGUCUCUCCCAAGAGUCAAGCUGCAUCCCCCUCCAGCUUCCCCUCCUCCUAAAGUCCAGUUCCUGGGACAGGACAAUGUCGUGAGGCAGGCGUCUCAGGGGCCAGCUGCCUCCUAAGGUGGAGGUCAGGGAAGGAAGAGGCCUGCAAGGGCCCUGACCCCCAGAGGGUCACUGGCCUCAGCCCACCCUGACAAAGACGCAGACUGACUCAGCUUCCUCCCAGCAUCUCCGCAGGCACGUUCGCCAGGUCAUUCACCCCCAGCCCACUGAGAGGCCUUGGGUUUAAUUACCCAAAGCCCUGAACUUUAGACUUCCCAGAGCUGACAACAGGGCGCUGGGGAUGUUCUUAGAAACUUCAGGACACAGUGGGGAAUGGCAGGAAAGGUGAAAGGGCAGGAGGGAGCCGGGGGGGGCUGCGGUUGGGCUGAGACGGGUGCUUCCCCACUGGGCAGCAGAGACUGGGAGACCCCAGGAGAGACCGGCAGGGUGUCAGUGAGGGAAGGGGGCUUCUGCCCCACCCAAGGUCUCUACGGGGUUGUCUUCUGUACAGUGUGGCCCGGGAUCCAGCCAGCGGGAGGCCCUGCCUGGAGGCCGGCCCAUCCCCAGCUAAGGCUUGGUCAGAGAGGAUGAGCUGUGGCCGCCAGGGUCUCCUCUUGGCAGUUGGGGCCUGCCAGCUCUCAGAAACUGAUUUUAGAACCAAAAAGAAUAAGUCCUUCUGAAUUUCAUUUCUUUGGCCUAUUUUUUCCCACAAAAUUAUAUGAUAGCAUCAUCUGACACUUAUUGAGACAGAGGAGGGAUGGGACUCGGCUGCCAACUCCACUAAUGCAUUCGCUAAUGCAUUCCCCCCCCCAACAUUUUUCUUUCUUCCUUUUUUUUUCUUACCUGCUCAUUGAAGGACAGUGAAAGCAUUAAGAUAAGCAGCAUUCCACUGUAAAUCUUACACAAAAUGCCACAUCCACUGAUCACACGACCUUGAAAAAUGAAGAUAGGCAGCGUCGCACUUCCAAUCUUGUACUUCAGGGAAUGAACUCCAUUGCCUUUGUGUGCAGGAAGCCGGAAGCACGACCACUCUUUACCCUCGGCCUCAUUACAAGACCAAGACCUCUGCCUCGGCGCGGCAGCUCUCACCUGGAAUCCCAGCACUUUGGGAGGCCGAAGCGGACGGAUCACCUGAGGUGUCAGGAGUUUGAGACCAGCCUGGCCAACAAGGGACGCUCACCUACCUCAUGAAUUACGCGUGUCGCCCUCCUCGAGACGCCACAACGCAGUCCCCUGGGGAGCCAGCCGGAGACCUCUCCCUGCGGUGCUGUCUCCCCCGUGGUGGAACGGAAGCCCCUAAUAAAGCCUUGUCUGGGAAAUUUGCUUGGCCUCGUGUCAAUUUUUAUCGGAGCCUAAAGAACCUGUGUCCCCCUCCUCCCACACCCUGGCAACUGUGAAUCUGCUUUUGAUCUCUAUGGAUUUGGCUACUCUGGAUAUUUCAUGCUGGAGUGCAAUGGUGAGAUCUCGGCUCACUGCAAC